CUACGGGUUGCUGCAGCUGCGAAACCUUUACAAUGCACGCAAGUGUGAUAAGGAAACCCCUCGUGCUUAUCUAACGAUAGGCUUUUGUUAUGUGUAAUGAGCAUAGCGAAUAAGUGGUGGGCAAGACUGGUGUCCAGCAGCCGCGGUAAUACCAGCGCCACGAGUGGAGAUCGCUUUUAUUGGGUCUAAAGUGUCCGUAGCUGGUUUGUUAAGUCUCUUGUGAAAUUUCUGUAGCUUAACUCAGAAAUUGCAAGAGAUACUGGCAGACUUGAGACCGGGAAGGAUGAGAGGUAUUGAUUGGGUAGCGGUAAAAUGUUAUAAUCCUUUCAAGACCAACUAAGGCGAAGGCAUCUCAUUAGAACGGAUCUGACAGUGAGGGACGAAAGCUAGGGUAGCGAACCGGAUUAGAUACCCGCGUAGUC
rnacentral:rRNA from 1 species